AAAAUCAAAGGCUCCUGGCGCGACGAUACUUUCACUUUCUGCCGUCUCCUCCUCCUCCUCCAAACCGAAGCUUGGAGCCGCUGCCAAUUAGGAAGCCACUCCUUUGCAAGGCUGAAGGCGAAGCGGCGUUUGAUGGGGAAAGGAAUGCAGAGGGCCAUCGCUUCCGUUUCGAAUAGAAGUUGUAUGGUUGUCCGCCAAGGAACCCUUGAAUUAUACAUUUCUUGCACAGGAAAGGUCACUGGAAGGCACCUUGACUAGGGUGCCACUCUGAUCCUUUCCAGCUCUAUGAAAACAAACAUUCCAGCCUGUGUGUGAAAGAGGUGGGGGAAAUCUUCUUCAUAAGAUGCAUGCAGGUUUUGAAGGUGCUUGCUAGUUUUUAAGGCUGAAAUUAAUAAGGGCACCCCUUACUGAGGCAGAAAAUAGUCAGAAAAUUGAUUCAGUGGAAUUGCAGUAUUUACGAAAGAUGUCAUAUAAAAUUGUUUCAAGUUUCAGACAUACUAUGUGUUCUGCCUUUUUCUGUUUCUUCCAUUUCCUUUGACUAUGUAAUGAAAACUUGAAGCAGGUUGGGUAUACUUCUUUCACAGUUUUCCUGGAAAAGUUGGGCUAGAUGGCAGACGCCAGUUAGAAAAAGAGGUUUAGAGGCAUUGUUUCAGGCAAUAACUGAACGGGAGCAUCAUACUGUCUUUAGAGACCUCAUACAUUACGUUAUAAGUUAAAAUUAAUCCUAAUGUUUCUUUAACAAAGCUUCUAAAAUUGAUAACUAAAGUUAAAAUCAGCCCUAUACACAGAAUAUCCCAUUCAUCAUGUAUGUAAUUUGAAAUCUGCAUAUAUAAUUUAGGAAAAACCGAUGUGACAUUAAAAAACCCCUAACAGUGGGAUAGAUAUGGCAACAACCUUAUAGAGGAGAUCUCCUCACUAGGACUUCCAGAUACAGUGGGGUCUUGACUUGAGAACUUAAUCCGUAUUGGAAGGCGGUUCUCAAGUCAAAAAGUUUGCAGGUCAAAUCUGCAUUUUCCAUAGGAAUGCAUUGAAAACCAUUUGAUCCGUAUCUGCUCUUUUCCGUCCAUAGAAACUAAUGGGAAGCUGCUAUUCCGCCUUCGACCUCUAGAGGGGGAUAUUUUGUUUCUUUUUUUCUUAGGUCAAGAAAGGUUCAGGGAAGGCAGGGAAAAUACAGUCCAGGCAGUACAGUACCAGGCAGUCUGAAGACUGUCUCCCAAUCCACUCUCUAAACGCUGAGAGGAAUGAGGAAGCAGACAGG
rnacentral:lncRNA from 1 species